rnacentral:rRNA from 1 species
AGAGUUUGAUCCUGGCUCAGGACGAACGCUGGCGGCGUGCCUAACACAUGCAAGUCGAACGGAACCUAGAUGUUAGACUGUAGAUGUUAGAAAUUAGAACAAGGACAUGGUUGGAACUUUAAGAUUGAGCCUAAGGCUUGAGGGACCAUUGUCUUAGAUUUAAAAUCUAAAAUCUAAUGUCUAGAGUCUAACAUCUAGGCUUAGUGGCGGACGGGCGAGUAACGCGUGAGCAACCUGCCCUUAAGAGGGGGACAACGACUGGAAACGGUCGCUAAUACCGCAUGACAUAUCGGGAUGGCAUCAUCUUGAUAUCAAAGGAGAAAUCCGCUUAAGGAUGGGCUCGCGUCCGAUUAGCUAGUUGGUGGGGUAACGGCCCACCAAGGCGACGAUCGGUAGCCGAACUGAGAGGUUGAUCGGCCGCAUUGGGACUGAGACACGGCCCAGACUCCUACGGGAGGCAGCAGUGGGGGAUAUUGCACAAUGGAGGAAACUCUGAUGCAGCAACGCCGCGUGAGGGAAGAAGGUCUUCGGAUUGUAAACCUUAGUAGUCAGGGACGAAAAAAAUGACGGUACCUGAAGAGUAAGCUCCGGCUAACUACGUGCCAGCAGCCGCGGUAAUACGUAGGGAGCGAGCGUUGUCCGGAUUUACUGGGUGUAAAGGGUGCGUAGGCGGGACUGCAAGUCAGGCGUGAAAUACCGGGGCUUAACUCCGGGGCUGCGCUUGAAACUGCGGUUCUUGAGUGAAGUAGAGGCAGGCGGAAUUCCUAGUGUAGCGGUGAAAUGCGUAGAUAUUAGGAGGAACACCAGUGGCGAAGGCGGCCUGCUGGGCUUUAACUGACGCUGAGGCACGAAAGCAUGGGGAGCAAACAGGAUUAGAUACCCUGGUAGUCCAUGCCGUAAACGAUGAUUGCUAGGUGUGGGGGGACUGACCCCUUCCGUGCCGGAGUUAACACAAUAAGCAAUCCACCUGGGGAGUACGACCGCAAGGUUGAAACUCAAAUGAAUUGACGG